UCCCUGUCUCUGUCUCUCUCUGUCUCCCUGUCUCUGUCUCUCUCUGUCUCUGUGUCUCUCUCUGUGUGUCCCCACACACGAUGUCUCGCUGUGGUCUCAUCACCGACAGUUUCGCAGUGGUGAGACGCGCGAAGACACGGAUUUGGAUCAGCUGCGAGCCUUUGACCUCGCUAUGGAAUACGGACCUUGUACAGGCAUCACGCGAUUGGAGCGAUGGGCGCGUGCUGAGAGUCUGGCCCUGGGCCCUCCAUGCUGGGUGAAGGCGAUGGUGGAGGGGAGGUCGGAAGACGUUCGCUUCACCCACAGUGUCUGGCACGGCUACCCUCUGUGAGAAUAAGACGAAACCCUGACCCUGAGACCCGGUGUCAACUCAAGACUCUGAGACACUGAGACCCGGUCUCUACUCUAGACUCUGAGACCCUGAGACCCAGUCUCUACUCUAGACACUGAGACCCGGUCUCUACUCUAGACACUGACCCUGAGACCCGGUCUCUACUCUAGACUCUGAGACCCUGAGACUCGGUGUCAAUUCAAGACUCCCACCCUGAGACCCGGUCUCAACUCUAGACACUCACCCUGAGACAUAGAUGCUCAAACAAGGUUGAACAGAUGGGUGCUGUGCUAUAUUUUAGAUUUUUCUGGAUGGGAAAUAAUAACGGUGUCUGUACAUAUUGUCUGACCUUGCGAAGAAAAUGCAAAAAAAUUAAUCUAUUGCGCGACGUUUGAUAACUUAACGGCUGCGAGGUUUGGUCGAUUGUAUACCCAUGGGGUGGGUGUCAAGGAGGGUAAGCCCCUGGCUCUGCAAGAAGUCGGCACAGCAGAGUGUGUGGACUAAUGUCCAUCUGUUCCAUUUCUCAGUAGAAGGGGGGUACAGUAGAGUGUGUGGACUAAUCUCCAUCUGUUCCAUCUCACUCCCUGUCUAUACCCGUGGGUGGGUGUCAUCUGGUUGAUAAUUGUACGGUAGAUUUUUUUUUACCUAGUGUGUUAAUGCAAGUGGUUUUUUUAAAUUAUUAAAUUGACGAUGUAAUAAUAAUAACUUAAUUAUAUUUUUAUAUUUUUUACUUUGCGGCCUACGAGGUGAAUUGACCUGAUUUUCCUAGCUCGUUUCCCGCGGUGGUGGUUGGGGGGGGGGGGGGGUGUGUGGGCUCUCUGUCGGGCCGGGCCGCUCAGGCAAGAGGGGAGGGCUGGUGGAGUCAGGACUCGGGCCUACUGUCACCACCGUUGCCAUGGCAACGCCUGCCUCCUUUCUCAUCUGCAAGUGCCUCAAUAAACCAGCUGAGUUUGUGUGCAUGUUGAACUUAAA